CGCGCCGCUGCGCCCCUGCGGCGCGUCCGGCGGAGCGGUGCGGCGCGACUAGCAGCGCCGAGCUGGAGGAAACGGGUUUAAAAAAGACACUGGGCCAAAUCCCCAGCUUGGCUACAACGUGUGGAAAUCUACUGAGAUGGCACGAAAGUCAGGAGAGAUUCACUGUAUUUGCACCUGGGUAAAGAGGUCUCAAGGGGCAGGGAUGUGAGAGCCAGAUUUCAGAUGGAUGAAAGGGAAUGGAAGAGCUAACUCAGAUUUCUGUAAGGAGAAACCUUUUUUUCAUUGUUUGGCUGUUAGAGGAAACAUGAUGUUUCAUGGACUCAGGACCAAAAUGGAAAAAGAGAUUUUGCAGGGAUUGGGAAGAUUUUACAAAUAAACAUUAAAAUUAAAAAAAAAAAACCCAACAAGUUCAUCCAGGUAUGAAGUCCAGCAGAAAUGGAGGAGAGAAAUGGACUGCACUGUCUGUAAAGGAUUGUGUAAGCAAGAAUGGCAAAAAGGUCUGAAUAAGUCCAUUGCAUUAAUGAUUUUCUAUACAUGACUUUCCUACACAAAGUUACAUGGGGUCAGUCUUUGGAGUUCCCCUGUAUAGCAGAGGAUCCUGAGCCUGAAAAAGGGAAGCAGAUUUUGUAAGAGAUUUGCAUAUCACGGAGUGACUCUGGAUUGCAGAUUUUAAGCAUUAAUAGAUUGGAGAAUAAAUUGUUGCUAUUGUUGUUACAUACCAGGAUAUGUACCUGAUCCACACAAUCCACUAAGCUGCUGUAGUUUUUGUCCGUGUUUAUUUUAGAUAAAAUUAUAGCCUGGACAGUUAAUUUUUCUUAGUCUGUCCAUAUAAAUCAUAUAUAAAUAAAGUAUCAAGCGGAAAUCAAAAUAUGACCUGUGUUUUUGAUACACUUCCCAUCAUGUGAGCCUGCCAGUGAUAGAGCCCUACACCUGGUUUACAAGUUGAACACAAAGGCAAUGAAAAACCACAGGUCUUCUUGAAAAGUAGCCAGUUAAAUUCUCUUGCUUUAAUGCUCUGGGUGGCCUAUUUUGCUUAUAUUUGAGACUGCCUAGCCAUUAUGGGAUUGCCUGCACCAGUCCUUUCCUUACAUCAAGCUAAUUGCAAAUUAACUUGAGGCACUUAGCAAGGCUGAGAGGCUGGAGCUGGUUCUUUCUGAGCACCGGCUGAGUUUGGAAAUGCCUGUUGCUUUACAGGGGCUGAUUCCUAAAGUGAGGGGCAAACAGAGGAACCAACCAGCCUGGAACCAAAGUGGUCAUACUGGCUUUUGGAAAAAGUGAAUGUCUCAAAUUAACUGACAGUCAGCUACCUGGAAAUAAAAACCUCUCAUAUAUCCAAAGGUUUUCGCUAGGAUUUUCAAGAUCUCCUGAGCAAUUUAAAAUCUUUGUGAUGCACUAUAGAAUGAAAAAUAUAAGUAUUAUGAAAGAAUGUCUCUGAACUGAAAGCCUGCCAGUUUCAUAAAAAUGAGCUAAAAAAGCAAUAACAGGUACUCUGUCUCCUGCUGGAUGCUAUAUGAACUGUAUAUUUUGUAUUUUGAAAGUAACUCUAAAACAAUGUUUUUUUCUUCACUAUUGCUGUUGGGAAGAA